rnacentral:rRNA from 1 species
UACAGAGGUGGCAAGCGUUGUUCGGAAUUACUGGGCGUAAAGGGCGCGUAGGCGGCCUUCUAAGUCAGACGUGAAAUCCCCCGGCUUAACCUGGGAACUGCGUCCGAUACUGGGAGGCUUGAGUAUGGGAGAGGGAUGUAGAAUUCCAGGUGUAGCGGUGAAAUGCGUAGAUAUCUGGAGGAAUACCGGUGGCGAAGGCAGUUACCUGGCUCAAAACUGACGCUAAAGCACGAAAGUGUGGGGAGCAAACAGG